GUAGGUGGCAAGCGUUGUCCGGAAUUAUUGGGCGUAAAGCGCGCGCAGGCGGUCCUUUAAGUCUGAUGUGAAAGCCCACGGCUCAACCGUGGAGGGUCAUUGGAAACUGGGGGACUUGAGUACAGAAGAGGAAAGCGGAAUUCCACGUGUAGCGGUGAAAUGCGUAGAGAUGUGGAGGAACACCAGUGGCGAAGGCGGCUUUCUGGUCUGUAACUGACGCUGAGGCGCGAAAGCGUGGGGAGCAAACAGGGAUUAGAUACCCUGGUAGUCCACGCCGUAAACGAUGAGUGCUAAGUGUUAGGGGGUUUCCGCCCCCUUAGUGCUGCAGCUAACGCAUUAAGCACUCGCCUGGGGAUACGGCCGCAAGGCUG
rnacentral:rRNA from 1 species